rnacentral:lncRNA from 1 species
AUCUGAGGGAUUUUUUUGCAUUUAGUUCCUGACAAAUUUUUAUUUUAAAAUUAGUCUUGUCAAAAUUUAAUUUAUAAAAAUGACCCUAGGCCUGCCACGCNAUUCACGGAAAGAGCAAUGCUAGCUCUACAUCAGUUUUAGAGUUGUAACUGUAUUCCCGGAAGCCUCUUGCUUUGAUAUCUUUAUCUGAGGGAUUUUUGCAUUUUGCCCUCUCAAAAAAAAUUAUUUUUACAAAUAAUCUCAAAAAAUUUAUAAUUAUAAUUUUAGCCCUAGGCCUGCCACGCAGGCGCCACGUAAGCAUCAUGCGGACAGGACCGGGGCCCGUGUGUUAAGUUGAACACGGUGAAUGGUUCACCUGAUUCACCGUGUUUAGUACGUAUUUUUUGUAUAUUGAAAAGAGGAAUAAAGAGUAGAGAUGUCAAUAGGUAUAGAUAUCCGAAAUAUUAUCCGAAUCCAAACCUGAAUAAAUUUUAUAUAUGUAUAAAUUUAUUUUUAUUUAUUUAUACAAUAUAUAAAAUAUUUAAUAAUUUUUAUUUCUUAGAGUUUCAUCCAACGGUAUAGAUUUUUAAAACCCGCUGGGUUCAGGUUCAGGUUUCGAGUUUUUGGUCGGAUAUGAAUAUGGGUAUGAAUUUUUAAAAUCCGCCGGGUUCAGAUCCGGGUUUGGAUUUUAAUUUGAUUUUCAGGUUCGGGUUCGGAUUUUUGAAAAAGAGAAGAAAAGAAAUACAAAUUUUCUAUUCCUUUUUUCAAUAUACAAAAAAUACGUACUAAAUACGGUGAAUCAUUCACCGUGUUUAACUUAACUACCGCCCCCAGCCCCGCCCGCGUGGUGCUGACGUGGCGCCUGCGUGGCAGGCCUAGGGCUAUUUUUUGCAAAUUAAAUUUUGGUAGGGCUAUUUUUAAAAUAAAACUUUGCCAGGGGGCUAAAUACAAAAAAAGCCCUUUAUCUAAUGAUUGGCGUUAAUCAUUAAUUUCAUAAACUCUCGAGCUGUCAUUAAUUCACUUAAACGUACAGAUACACAGUACCGAGAGUUUCGAUUUUGACUCGAUUCAACCGGUCUUCCGUCAUUUCGAGUAUGACUCAAUCCAACCCGACUUUUCAUUAUUUCAUAUGUGAUUCGACUCAAUUUGAUCUUUUGUCACGGAAUAAAAUACUGGCCGAUUUAAACCAACAAUAACUAGUCUCAUCAUUUUUUUCUUUUCACUAAAAACUAAAAGC